rnacentral:rRNA from 1 species
CCUACGGGAGACAGCAGUGGGGAAUAUUGGACAAUGGGGGGAACCCUGAUCCAGCGACGCCGCGUGAGUGAAGAAGUAUUUCGGUAUGUAAAGCUCUAUCAGCAGGGAAGAAAAUGACGGUACCUGACUAAGAAGCACCGGCUAACUACGUGCCAGCAGCCGCGGUAAUACGUAGGGGGCAAGCGUUAGCCGGAUUUACUGGGCGUAAAGGGAGCGUAGACGGUGCAGCAAGUCUGAUGUGAAAGGUCGGGGCCAAACCCCGGGACGGAAUGGGAAACUGUAGAGCUGGAGUACAGGAGAGGUAAGGGGAAUGCGGUGGGGAGCGGGGAAAUGCGUAGAUAGUAGGAGGAACACCAGUGGCGAAGGCGGGUUACUGGAUGGUAACUGACGUUGAGGCGCGAAAGCGUGGGGAGCAAACAGGAUUAGAUACCCGAGUAGUC